rnacentral:lncRNA from 1 species
AGGCUGAAAGAUGGGGCUGGCGGGAGGUGGGUAGGAAGCAUGUGAGUGGGGAGUCUGGCUGGGAAUGGAGGUUGCUUUUCAAGAAUUUUUCAAGUGGGCAAAAGAGUUUACAAGGUUGGCUGGGACACUGGCCUUUUGAAGAGAUAAGCCAAACUCUUUUACAUUUUUGUAGGGGGUGGGGAGAGGCAGAUGAGAGCUCCCUGGGAACAGAACUCACACGCACAGCAUUUUGGUUGAAGUGCUGGAAGGAGAAAGGAGAAGGCAGGGCCAGCCCUCAGAAGCCAGGAAGGCUCGGAUGCACCUCAGGGACCACGGAGACAUCAUUCUUAAGCUUAGAGAGGUUAUUAUGUUGGCUGUGGAAAGAAGAGAUGCCAGGGAUGCUGU